AGGUCAGUGAUUUUGGAGCGGCGUGGCGGAAUGGGUGUGGUGAAGUUACUUUCGUACUUUUGGUUCCGCUGCAAACGUUGGACUUUAAAUUCGUUAAAUUUCUUUGAGUUGUUUUGAAGUUAAGCGUGCUUUUGUUUUAUGAAGGUCUUUGUUAAUUGAUUUAACUUUAUUGGUGAAUGAAGACCUUGACGUACAAGUAUUUGGUCGUUCAAGGCUUGGUAGACGUUUUUCUGAAACUGAACUUAUUUUGUGGAUUUGGUGUU
rnacentral:lncRNA from 1 species